GGAAGUGUGGCCGAGCGGUUGAAGGCACCGGUCUUGAAAACCGGCGACCCGAAAGGGGUUCCAGAGUUCGAAUCUCUGCGCUUCCGCCA
rnacentral:tRNA from 1 species